AAAUUUUGUCGCGCAUUAACAUAGUUAGCAUAUUUAGCUAGACUCCGUAUGUGUUAAACUGGCUAACGUUUCUUAUGAAGUUUACUUCCACCACAAAUAGCAUCAAGGAACUGUAUGGCUUUUGCCACUCGCCAUUUUAACAGCUUAUAAGCCAGUAAUAAGCCUACUAGUAUAUUUACUAGUUGGAAUAGUCAUAAGAAUUGAGCAAUUGCUAGCGAGACUGAAGACGAACUUUACACUGUCAAAUCUAUUAAAUUUAAUGGCACAAUGUUCUUUUUUCUUUCAUAAGUGAAUGACAUUGAUGAAAUAAAUAUCAAUAUAGGUGACAAUAACUGACUACAAGUGAAAUAACAAGAGAGAAUCGUGGAAACCCAUCCUCUUUCACUGCGCGCAAGGGGUUGUGGUCUAUAUUACACCAAAAAGCAAGUACGGAUGCGUGUUUGGAAAAUCCACGAGAAAUAGUAGACAAUCUGGGAGCUUUUGGAAUACUAUUUUCAGCAUACUAUGAGAGUGGAGAGAAAGAAGACAAGAUAGGAAGAAGAUUCAAGGUGAUUGAGGAGGAAAGGUAAAGAUAUGGUUUACAGAGCAUGCCAAUUUAUUAUUACAAACAAUGUUUUUGAGAUAAAAUACAAAAAUGAGGCAAGAAAUGGGAAUCUGUUAACCAAAGUAUGUUAUCUAAUAGUGUACUAUUUAUUAUUAAAGAGAGAAAAUAGUGAGAAGGAAAAAUUAAGGGAGGUAAAAUAAUGAACCGAGGAGAGUGUUGAAGAUGAAGUGGAAAGGUAAAGAGAAAAAAGAUGAGUGAACAAAAGAGGAGAAGAAUGUAGUAGAAGAAAAAGUCUGUUAUCUCUGGUUUUCUUCUGCUCUUAUUCUGCCCAGCCACUGAGUGGCUGUUCAGAUUGGACAGUUCAGACUUGUCUGUGGUGUCUCUAAAAUAUAGUUUUUUCCUCUGUCUAUCACAAUGUGCCUGUUAGACUAAACACAGGACACUGGAAUUGGCCUCCUAUUUUAUUUCAUAGAUAAUAACAUCAGAUACUUCAAUGAUAUAUUGACCGCCAAACUGGAAAUGUCCCCAGUUUUCAUUUCAGACAUCUGGUCACCUUAAAUCAAAGUCAAUCAUUUGAGAGUGAUGUACUAUCCACUCUUAGAUCUUCAUAAGGAGGAUGCUGUUGAAGUGGUCUCCACUGUGACAAGGAUAGGCAGACACUGAACAAUGUGCUACAGUUACUUCAGAAGGGCGACGCAACUAUCCCAUCCUCACAGGACAAAGGACAAAACAUCACAGGCCUAGUGAGCACAAUAAGAUAAGUCAGGGUAAAAGGACAAAUAUACACAACACACACACACAGGGCAUGCAGGUGACUGGCAAGGAAUCAACAUUUGGAUAACUUGGUCCUGUGUCUGUGGUGUCCUGCCAACUUCUGUUGUAUUAUCCUGGUCAUGCCAUCACACCAUAGAAGGUAGAAAUACAGCACUUUGUUUUGUAUAGGUUGAACAAUUAAAGUAUGCCUAAUGGCACACCAACUGAUGGCUGUCAACCUGUCUGCCUCCACUCCCCAGGAUUUGCCAGCUGCACAACAUUGCUCCCUGGCCUCCCAUUGCCCCUUCCAAGACCAACUCCACCCUUGCCUCAACUUCCUCUACUCCUGCUGGUCUUUUAGUCCCCUACUGGCCCUGCGUCCUACAGCUAGCCAGCCAGCCAGCCAUGACUUUAUAUAUGACACAUUUGUGUACAUUUGUUUUUAGAAAAUGUAUUAUAUUUUAAUAUAGUUAUGAUACCAAUUACUUAAAAAAAAAUUACAGGUUUGAAUGAAACAAUCUUGAUAAAAUGUAUUUAAUUGAUAUUUAAACUUUUUUUGACAAUGUUGGUUGUAGAGCAAAUCAUCAGACCACUGCAGAUUUUUUUUAUGCGCUAUAGCUACGGAUAUCUUUUUAUAUACAACAAUGUCAAUACCCUUUUUGAGUAAUUGCCAUUUAUUUUUCAACAAUGUUUUGGAAUGACUGAAUAUCUGACAGACCUUUAGCGUGUAAUGUAGAGAUGUAGCCCAAUCAAAUUGAAGUAAAAAGCAAAAGUUUGGAAACUCAUUUCCAAAGGCAGUGUAGCCUACACAACCAAUGAGUUAAAAAGCUAAUUUAGUUUUUUGGCCAGCUAUGUAAACUCUAACAUUGACUGAUCCAGAAAAAUAUGUUCAGUUGGUUAUAGGCUAUUCCUAUAUGUUUUCCAAAUGCCUCUUAAUAUGAAAGUAAUCUAAAAGUCAUUCAAAGUAAUCAGAUGACAUUACUGAGUUUGAGUAAUCAAAACAUUAUGUUACUGAUUACAAAUGUGGAAAGGUAACUUGUAACAGUAACUGAUUACAUUUAAAAAGUAACCUACCCAACCCUGUAUUUAAAUGAUAAAUAAAAUAAAAAUGCGUUAUGCUACGACAUUAAACCAUGAACCGCCGUCCAUAAAUAAUCAUUAGCAAAUGAAAACAUAAUCAUAACUAAACUUAACAAAGUGCUGUUAUUAUUACUACAGGCUCUAGUUUUACGGUUUACUGCAGUUCUGCUUGUGCUUUGUCCAAGUGCUGUUGCCGCACCCCAAUUUGUCUACUGUUGUUGGUAGGAACUGUAGAUAUAUUGAUUGUAUAAGUUAGUGAACUGUUGUAAGCUGUUGUAAGCAAGGAAGCAAAAUAUUAAUUGUUUGUAAUAUGAGCUAAAACGGAAUGUGCAAGUAGGAGAACAGGAAACCCUGUUCAAGCGGUUGCCGGGAAGAGAAAGAUUUAGUAUGUCUGUCUUUUGAGAAACAGGAAACAGGUUAGAGGCACACACAUAGUCGGACAGACAACACAGAAACCACAAGGGGGGCAAGGGGGUACUUGCAGUUAUCCUAUAAGGAAUAAAACUGGGAUUGGGUCAAUGGCACACUUGCUUUGUUAACUUAACGCCUCUAUCUUUUGGGCGUAGUUGAAGUAUAAAUGCUGUUUUGACCGUUGAUCCUUAGACAUUGUGCAGCGACACUUGUCUCCAAAAG
ensembl:lncRNA